UUUGCUCAACCCGGGUGUAGCAUGUGGUUUAAUUCGAAGCAACGCGAAGAACCUUACCAGGCCUUGACAUCCUGAGAACUUCCCAGAGAGGGCGGGGUGCCUUUUGGAACUCCGACACAGGUGUUGCAUGGCGGUGGUCAGCUCGUGUCGUGAGAUGUUGGGUUAAGUCCCGUAACGAGCGCAACCCCUGUCCUUAGUUACCAGCACGUUAUGCUGGGCACUCUAAGGAGACUGCCGGUGACAAACCGGAGGAAGGUGGGGAUGACGUCAAGUCAUCAUGGCCCUUACGGCCAGGGCUACACACGUGCUACAAUGGUCGGUACAGAGGGUAGCCAAGCCGCGAGGGGGAGCUAAUCCCAUAAACCCGAUCCUAGUCCGGAUCGCAGUCUGCAACUCGAUUGCGGAAGUCGGAAUCGCUGAUUGGAUAUGCC
rnacentral:rRNA from 1 species